rnacentral:RNase_P_RNA from 1 species
GGGCCGAGUUGUGCUGUCGCGCGGUAUGUCGCCGAAAGGUAUUACCGUGAGGAAAGUCCGGGCUUCACAGGGCAGGAUAACGGAUAACGUCCGCCGAGGGUGACCUCCGGGAAAGUGCAACAGAAAAGAACCGCCUAUGCAAAUAGGUAAGGAUGAAAAGGCGAGGUAAGAGCUCACCGGCAGUCUGGUAACAGCCUGCAAGUGUAAACCCUAUCCGAAGCAACACCCAAUGGGAGAUGUCUGCCCGACAGUUUGAUCCCACGGGUGGCACAGAGUCUGUCGGUAACGGCAGAACAAGAUAGAUGACAGUAGCAGAGCAAUCUGAACAGAACCCGGCUUAUAGGCUCGGCCCAACU